rnacentral:rRNA from 1 species
UACGUAGGGUGCGAGCGUUAAUCGGAAUUACUGGGCGUAGAGCGUGCGCAGGCGGUGAGCUGUGUCCGAUGUGAAAGCCCCGGGCUUAACCUGGGAAUGGCAUUGGAAACUGGCUCGCUGGAGUGUGGCAGAGGGGGGUGGAAUUCCGCGUGUAGCAGUGAAAUGCGUAGAGAUGCGGAGGAACACCGAUGGCGAAGGCAGCCCCCUGGGCUAACACUGACGCUCAGGCACGAAAGCGUGGGGAGCAAACAGG